AUUGAACGCUGGCGGCAGGCCUAACACAUGCAAGUCGAACGAGUGGCGGACGGGUGAGUAAUGUCUGGGAAACUGCGUGAUGGAGGGGGAUAACUACUGGAAACGGUAGCUAAUACCGCAUAACAUAGGAUGUGCCCAGAUGGGAUUAGCUAGUAGGUGGGGUAAAGGCUCACCUAGGCGACGAUCCCUAGCUGGUCUGCGAGGAUGACCAGCCACACUGGAACGGAGACACGGUCCAGACUCCUACGGUAUGCAGCAGUGGGGAAUAUUGCACAAUGGGCGCAAGCCGGAUACAGCCAUGCCGCGUGUAUGAAGAAGGCCUUCGGGUUGUAAAGUACUUUCAGCGGGGAGGCGUUACCCGCAGAAGAAGCACCGGCUAACUCCGUGCCAGCAGCCGCGGUAAUAG
rnacentral:rRNA from 1 species